GUUUUGUGUGUGUGUGUGUGAGAGAGAAAUAUUCUAUUUGCCUUAUAAAGGGGUUGUGUGAUUGUGCGUAUCUAUCAUUUGCCCAAAGGGUGUGUGUUUUGUGUGUGUGUGUGAGAGAGAAAUAUUCUAUUUGCCUUAUAAAGGGGUUGUGUGUGUGUGUGUGUCUAUCAUUGGCCCAAAGAGUCCGUAUGCGUGUGUGUGUUUCUACUAUUUGCCCAAGUGUGUGUGUGCGCGUGAGAGAGAGAGAGAGAUUCUAUUUGCCUUAUAACGGGGUUGUGUGUGUGUGUGUCUAUCAUAUGCCCAAAGAGUCCGUAUGUGUGUGUGUUUCUACUAUUUGCCCAAGUGUGUGUGUGUGCGUGAGAGAGAGAGAGAGAGAGACAUUCUACCAUUUGCCUUAUAAACGGGUUGUGUGUUUGCGCAUGUGUCUAAUAUUUGUCCGAAAGGGUGUAUGAAGAAUUCACUUCCGAAGCCGUUCAAGGAAACAGAAACCUCCAGUCCUUGUUCUGUGAAAGACUUAACUUCCUACUUUGGGCCCCCUUAUUUUCCAUCCAGCUGGCAGGAAAGAGAGAGAAACGAGGAGCAGCGACGAGCUUUCGGCGUGAUAACAUUUCCGCCUCCCGCUCACCAGAUCCUCCGACUCGGUCCUUGCAGGGGGCCCAGCCCAGCCUUCAAGUUUGGCCAAAAUUACGGUGCCCGCUUAUUCCGCAGCAUUUCAAAUAUUUGCCCUGGAGGACGUCAUACAUUUAGGCUUCCUGGUAUCCCAGCUUUGAUAAAGUUUGAGGAGCUGUGCCCUUCC
rnacentral:lncRNA from 1 species